rnacentral:rRNA from 1 species
GAUGAACGCUAGCGAUAGGCCUAACACAUGCAAGUCGAGGGGCAGCAUGGAGUAGCAAUACUUUGAUGGCGACCGGCGCACGGGUGAGUAACACGUAUGCAACCUACCUACAUCAGGGGAAUAACCCGGAGAAAUUCGGACUAAUACCGCAUAAUACAGGGAUGCCGCAUGGCAAUAUUUGUUAAAGAUUUAUCGGAUGUAGAUGGGCAUGCGUUCCAUUAGCUAGUUGGUAAGGUAACGGCUUACCAAGGCAACGAUGGAUAGGGGAACUGAGAGGUUUGUCCCCCACACUGGAACUGAGACACGGACCAGACUCCUACGGGAGGCAGCAGUGAGGAAUAUUGGUCAAUGGACGAGAGUCUGAACCAGCCAAAUCGCGUGAAGGAAGACUGCCCUACGGGUUGUAAACUUCUUUUGUACAGGAAUAAAAGACAUUACGUGUAAUGUAUUGCAUGUACUGUACGAAUAAGCAUCGGCUAACUCCGUGCCAGCAGCCGCCGUAA